rnacentral:rRNA from 1 species
UACGUAGGGGGCAAGCGUUAUCCGGAAUUACUGGGUGUAAAGGGAGCGUAGGCGGCAAUGUAAGUCAGAUGUGAAAUUCGAGGGCUCAACUUUCGAACUGCAUUUGAAACUGCAUAGCUAGAGUACAGGAGAGGAAAGUGGAAUUCCUAGUGUAGCGGUGAAAUGCGUAGAUAUUAGGAGGAACACCAGUGGCGAAGGCGACUUUCUGGACUGUAACUGACGCUGAGGCUCGAAAGCGUGGGGAGCGAACAGG